rnacentral:misc_RNA from 1 species
CGACAACGACACCGCCUCCCAGAUCUCCCUCUCCGACGACGCCGAGAUCGCCGGCGGCACGGUCAAGGUCUCAAGAUUCGGGCGGGUGAUGUACCGGAAGCCGAUCCUGUUCCUCGGGACCGACCCUGGCUUCUCCACCAAUUUCUCCUUCUCUAUCGCCAGCGGCAGUGGUAUGCUAUUCUCUCUUCACCCUUUCAACAGGUCGGAAUCUGUUGUAUCAGUCAAAUAUCUCUCUCAAACCAAAUUCAGCCACAUUGAGGUUGAUAUAGGAAGUGAUAUAUUUAUUAGAAGCGGUGAUUUGGAUCUGAGUAGUGCUGAGAGGCGCCAUUGUUGGAUUGAGUACGACGGCG